GAUGAACGCUAGCGGCAGGCUUAAUACAUGCAAGUCGAGGGGCAGCAUGAUUGUAGCAAUACAAUUGAUGGCGACCGGCAAACGGGUGCGGAACACGUACACAACCUUCCAAUAAGUGGGGAAUAGCCCAGAGAAAUUUGGAUUAAUACCCCGUAACAUAACGAUGUGGCAUCACAUUGUUAUUAUAGAUUUUUCGCUUAUUGAUGGGUGUGCGGCUGAUUAGAUAGUUGGCGGGGUAACGGCCCACCAAGGCUACGAUCAGUAGCUGAAGUGAGAGCAUGAUCAGCCACACGGGCACUGAGACACGGGCCCGACUCCUACGGGAGGCAGCAGUAAGGAAUAUUGGACAAUGGACGCAAGUCUGAUCCAGCCAUGCCGCGUGAAGGAUUAAGGUCCUCUGGAUUGUAAACUUCUUUUAUAAGGGACGAAAAAAGGCUUUUCUAAGUCGUCUGACGGUACCUUAUGAAUAAGCACCGGCUAACUCCGUGCCAGCCGCCGCUGUAACAC
rnacentral:rRNA from 1 species